rnacentral:tRNA from 1 species
UACAUACUAGCUCAAUAGUAGAGCGAUCGCUUGGAAACGAUAAGUUGCAGGUGCGACUCCUGCGUGUGUUACCA